rnacentral:rRNA from 1 species
CAUGCAAGUCGAGCGAGCGGAACCAACAGAUUUACUUCGGUAAUGACGUUGGGAAAGCGAGCGGCGGAUGGGUGAGUAACACGUGGGGAACCUGCCCCUAAGUCUGGGAUACCAUUUGGAAACAGGUGCUAAUACCGGAUAAUAAAGCAGAUCGCAUGAUCAGCUUUUGAAAGGCGGCGUAAGCUGUCGCUAAGGGAUGGCCCCGCGGUGCAUUAGCUAGUUGGUAAGGUAACGGCUUACCAAGGCGACGAUGCAUAGCCGAGUUGAGAGACUGAUCGGCCACAUUGGGACUGAGACACGGCCCAAACUCCCUACGGGAGGCAGCAGUAGGGAAUCUUCCACAAUGGACGCAAGUCUGAUGGAGCAACGCCGCGUGAGUGAAGAAGGUUUUCGGAUCGUAAAGCUCUGUUGUUGGUGAAGAAGGAUAGAGGUAGUUACUGGCCUUUAUUUGACGGU